UGAGGUGGAUACUGUUGUUAAACCCAUAACCAUGUGUGUGAGGUAGAUACUGUUGUUAAACCCAUAACCAUGUGUGUGAGGUAGAUACUGUUGUUAAACCCAUAACCAUGUGUGUGAGGUGGAUACUGUUGUUAAACCCAUAACCAUGUGUGUGAGGUGGAUACUGUUGUUAAACCCAUAACCAUGUGUGUGAGGUGGAUACUGUUGUUAAACCCAUAACCAUGUGUGUGAGGUAGAUACUGUUGUUAAACCCAUAACCAUGUGUGUGAGGUGGAUACUGUUGUUAAACCCAUAACCAUGUGUGUGAGGUAGAUACUGUUGUUAAACCCAUAACCAUGUGUGUGAGGUGGAUACUGUUGUUAAACCCAUAACCAUGUGUGUGAGGUAGAUACUGUUGUUAAACCCAUAACCAUGUGUGUGAGGUGGAUACUGUUGUUAAACCCAUAACCAUGUGUGUGAGGUGGAUACUGUUG